rnacentral:lncRNA from 1 species
CGGGGAUAUGUCAGGUCUAAGUAACGUUGUAUGUGGUUAUACGGAACCCACUUGCACUCGCAUUUCAGGUUGAUGUCCUUGACCUAAUCUUGACUACACUGGGUUGGAUCGUGUUGGUGCUGUGGAAUUGUUAGACCGAAUCAGGCGAAAAUUGCAAGGUCCGUCUGACGCGGGGCAGAGUCUUCGGAGCAAGUCUUCUUCAUAUCUUGUCGAAUAUGACAGCUAGCGGCCAACGCUCUCCAACCCGAGGAAAUUGAUGGGGUUGUCGCUUGUCACUUCUCAUUUCUCUCCUAUUUUUUUCCCCUUCUCCACUCCCAAGAACAAGCAUCCAUUCGCUCCUGUUUGUUGAUUUAUCAUUACGUCUGAGGUCUCAGACA